rnacentral:rRNA from 1 species
GAUGAACGCUGGCGGCGUGCUUAACACAUGCAAGUCGAACGAAGCACUUUUAAUUCUUCGGAAGAGAAAGUGACUGAGUGGCGGACGGGUGAGUAACGCGUGGGUAACCUGCCUUAUACAGGGGGAUAACAGUUAGAAAUGACUGCUAAUACCGCAUAAGCCGAUAGAGUCGCAUGACUUAGACGGAAAAGAUUUAUCGGUAUAAGAUGGACCCGCGUCUGAUUAGCUAGUUGUUGAGUUAAUGGCCCACCAAGGCGACGAUCAGUAGCCGGCGUGGGAGAGUGAAAGGCCACAUUGGGACUGAGACACGGCCCAAACUCCUACGGGAGGCAGCAGUGGGGAAUAUUGCACAAUGGGGGAAACCCUGAUGCAGCAACGCCGCGUGAAGGAAGAAGCAUUUCGGUAUGUAAACUUCUAUCAGCAGGGAGGAAAAUGACGGUACCUGACUAAGAAGCCCCGGCUAACUACGUGCCAGCCGCCGCAGUAA